AUUGAACGCUGGCGGCCGGCCUAACACAUGCAAGUCGAACGGUAACAGGAAGAAGCUUGCUUCUUUGCUGACGAGUGGCGGACGGGUGAGUAAUGUCUGGGAAACUGCCUGAUGGAGGGGGAUAACUACUGGAAACGGUAGCUAAUACCGCAUAACGUCGCAAGACCAAAGAGGGGGACCUUCGGGCCUCUUGCCAUCGGAUGUGCCCAGAUGGGAUUAGCUAGUAGGUGGGGUAACGGCUCACCUAGGCGACGAUCCCUAGCUGGUCUGAGAGGAUGACCAGCCACACUGGAACUGAGACACGGUCCAGACUCCUACGGGAGGCAGCAGUGGGGAAUAUUGCACAAUGGGCGCAAGCCUGAUGCAGCCAUGCCGCGUGUAUGAAGAAGGCCUUCGGGUUGUAAAGUACUUUCAGCGGGGAGGAAGGGAGUAAAGUUAAUACCUUUACUCAUUGACGUUACCCGCAGAAGAAGCACCGGCUAACUCCGUG
rnacentral:rRNA from 1 species